rnacentral:rRNA from 1 species
GGACUACCAGGGUAUCUAAUCCUGUUUGAUACCCACGCUUUCGUGCCUCAGCGUCAGUGACAUCUUAGCAGGCUGCUUUCGCAAUCGGUGUUCUGUGUCAUAUCUAUGCAUUUCACCGCUACACAACACAUUCCGCCUGCUUCAUUUGUACUCAAGGGCAAAAGUUUCAACGGCAGUGUUACAGUUGAGCUGUAAGAUUUCACCGCUGACUUCUCGCCCCGCCUACGCACCCUUUAAACCCAAUAAAUCCGGAUAACGCUCGGAUCCUCCGUAUUACCGCGGCUGCUGGCAC